rnacentral:rRNA from 1 species
CCUACGGGGGGCAGCAGUGGGGAAUAUUGGACAAUGGGGGCAACCCUGAUCCAGCCAUGCCGCGUGUGUGAAGAAGGCCCUCGGGUUGUAAAGCACUUUCAGUGAGGAAGAACGCCUGGUGGUUAAUACCCAUCAGGAAAGACAUCACUCACAGAAGAAGCACCGGCUAACUCCGUGCCAGCAGCCGCGGUAAUACGGAGGGUGCGAGCGUUAAUCGGAAUUACUGGGCGUAAAGCGCGCGUAGGUGGCUUGAUAAGCCGGUUGUGAAAGCCCCGGGCUCAACCUGGGAACGGCAUCCGGAACUGUCAAGCUAGAGUGCAGGAGAGGAAGGUAGAAUUCCCGGUGUAGCGGUGAAAUGCGUAGAGAUCGGGAGGAAUACCAGUGGCGAAGGCGGCCUUCUGGACUGACACUGACACUGAGGUGCGAAAGCGUGGGUAGCAAAGAGGAUUAGAUACCCUAGUAGUC